rnacentral:tRNA from 2 species
AGGCCCGCCUAUUCAG